GCGUUGAGCAGCAAAAUUAUUCGUAUAAUUCCGGGGAUUGGCCUGGAAGUCUCUACAGGGUCACCGUAAUGGCCUGGCUACGAUUAAAAAGAGCGAUUCC
rnacentral:ncRNA from 2 species